CCUACGGGUGGCAGCAGUGGGGAAUAUUGCACAAUGGGGGAAACCCUGAUGCAGCGACGCCGCGUGAGUGAAGAAGUAUUUCGGUACGUAAAGCUCUAUCAGCAGGGAAGAAAAUGACGGUACCUGACUAAUAAGCCCCUGCUAACUACGUGCCAGCAGCCGCGGGAAUACGUCGGGCGCAAGGGUUAACCGGAUUUAAUGGGGGUAAAGGGAGCGUAGACGGCAGCGUAAGUCUGAAGUGAAAUCCCAGGGCUUAACCAUGGAACUGCUUUGGAAACUGUGCAGCUGGAGUGCAGGAGAGGUAAGCGGAAUUCCUAGUGUAGCGGUGAAAUGCGUAGAUAUUAGGAGGAACACCAGUGGCGAAGGCGGCUUACUGGAUUGUAACUGACGUUGAGGCUCGAAAGCGUGGGGAGCAAACAGGAUUAGAUACCCCUGUAGUC
rnacentral:rRNA from 1 species